UACGUAUGGGGCAAGCGUUAUCCGGAUUUACUGGGUGUAAAGGGAGCGUAGGCGGCAGUACAAGUCGGGAGUGAAAACUUGGGGCUCAACCCCAAGACUGCUCUCGAAACUGUGCAGCUAGAGUGCAGGAGGGGCAGGCGGAAUUCCUGGUGUAGCGGUGAAAUGCGUAGAUAUCAGGAGGAACACCGGUGGCGAAGGCGGCCUGCUGGACUGUAACUGACGCUAAGGCUCGAAAGCGUGGGGAGCGAACAGGAUUAGAUACCCUGGUA
rnacentral:rRNA from 1 species